rnacentral:rRNA from 1 species
AGCAGCCGCGGUAAUUCCAGCUCCAAUAGCGUAUAUUAAAGUUGUUGCAGUUAAAAAGCUCGUAGUUGAAUUUCGGGAUCAAUAUGUCGGUCGUGCCUUCGGUACGUACUGGUAUCAUUGGUCUCUCCUUUCUGACGAACCAUGAUGUCAUUAAUUUGGUGUUAUGGGGAGUUAGGACUGUUACUUUGAAAAAAUUAGAGUGUUUAAAGCAGGCUUUAGCUUGAAUACAUUAGCAUGGAAUAAUGAAAUAGGACGUUCGAACCUAUUUUGUUGGUUUCUAGGAUCAACGUAAUGAUUAAUAGGGAUAGUUGGGGGCAUUAGUAUUCAAUUGUCAGAGGUGAAAUUCUUGGAUUUAUUGAAGACUAACUACUGCGAAAGCAUUUGCCAAGGAUGUUUUCAUUAAUCAAGAACGAAAGUUAGGGGAUCGAAGACGAUCAGAUACCGUCGUAGCCUUAACCAUAAACUAUGCCGACUAGGGAUC